AGUGAACGCUGGCGGUAGGCCUAACACAUGCAAGUCGAACGGCAGCACAGUAAGAGCUUGCUCUUACGGGUGGCGAGUGGCGGACGGGUGAGGAAUACAUCGGAAUCUACUUUUUCGUGGGGGAUAACGUAGGGAAACUUACGCUAAUACCGCAUACGACCUACGGGUGAAAGCAGGGGAUCUUCGGACCUUGCGCGAUUGAAUGAGUCGAUGUCGGAUUAGCUAGUUGGCGGGGUAAAGGCCCACCAAGGCGACGAUCCGUAGCUGGUCUGAGAGGAUGAUCAGCCACACUGGAACUGAGACACGGUCCAGACUCCUACGGGAGGCAGCAGUGGGGAAUAUUGGACAAUGGGCGCAAGCCUAAUCCAGCCAUACCGCGUGGGUGAAGAAGGCCUUCGGGUUGUAAAGCCCUUUUGUUGGGAAAGAAAAGCAGCAGGUUAAUACCCCGCUGUUCUGACGGUACCCAAAGAAUAAGCACCGGCUAACUUCGUG
rnacentral:rRNA from 1 species